CAGCCGCCACGGGAAUACGUAGGUGGCAAGCGUUGUCCGGAAUUAUUGGGCGUAAAGGGCUCGCAGGCGGUUUCUUAAGUCUGAUGCGAAAGCCCCCGGCUCAACCGGGGAGGGUCAUUGGAAACUGGGAAACUUGAGUGCAGAAGAGGAGAGUGGAAUUCCACGUGUAGCGGUGAAAUGCGUAGAGAUGUGGAGGAACACCAGUGGCGAAGGCGACUCUCUGGUCUGUAACUGACGCUGAGGAGCGAAAGCGUGGGGAGCGAACAGGAUUAGAUACCCCUGUAGUCCCUGUCUCUUAUAC
rnacentral:rRNA from 1 species